UUUCAAAUUUCAAUAUUUUAAAUUUUAAAUUAUAAAUUGAAUUUAAAAAAUUCAAAUAUUAAAUUUCAACUUCAUAUGUUAAAAUUUAAAUUUUAAACUUCAACAUUUUAUAUUUUAAAUUUAAAUUUAAGUUUUAGAUAAUAAAAAAUUUUAAAUUUUAAAUAUUUAAUUAUUCAUUUCCUUCUUGCUUAAAUUUUAUAACCAAUUUUAGUAAAUAAUGUUGAAUAGUCUAUUCAAAAGAUUUUAGAAAUUACGUAAUUUUCCCACUUACCCG
rnacentral:lncRNA from 1 species